AAAAUCAUCUUAUUUUACGUGAUAAUUACAUCGAAGAAAGUUUUUAAAAAAUUUUAUCAGUGGGGAGAACUGAGUUGUCAUUGACAUUGUAGAAAACUUGAUAUGAAAUUUUUUACACAUUGCCUAGCACGUUACAACCACAACAAACAUUAUCGAUUAUUUUAUUAUAACUUAUUCAUGAUAAAAAAUGGUGUAUUAAAAACAAACUAGUCUAAAAUUAAUAAAUAUUAAAUUUAUCAUCAGGAAAAAAACGUCUAAAUGCACGAAAUUGAAGAGGAUCUUACUGAGAAAAAAUUAAAAAUCGUACUUGUUGGUGAUUCUGGUGUUGGCAAGACAAGUAUUGCAUUAAAAUUUUGUAAUGAUGAAUUUAGUCGUCAAUAUAAUCCAACUUCUGGAUUGGAUUUUUUGAAAAAAAAUUUAAGUCUUGGACCAUAUAAAAAUGUUACUCUUCAUAUAUGGGAUGUUGGUGGACUUGCACUUCAUGGAACAAUGCUCGAUAAGUAUAUUUACAAAGCAGAGCUAAUAAUGUUAAUUUAUGAUGUGACAAAUAGUUCAAGUUUUGAUGUAUUAGAACAAUGGCUUGAUACAAUAGAAAAUAUUAUUAAUAAUGAAAAUUAUAAUGAAAAUAAAAAACCAUUAAUGGUUAUUGUUGGUAAUAAAUGUGAUAUGGAACAUCAAAGAUCAGUUAAACGUGAAAAAUCACAUCGUUUAGCAGCUGAAAAAAAUUUAAUUUAUAAUGAUAUGUCAGCAAGAACUGGAGAAUCAGUAUCAUUAUGUAUUGCAAAUUUAGCAGCCAAAGUAUUAGGUGUACAAUUAACACAAAUGGAUCAAGAUUUUUGUAAGCCAAUUGUAACUGCUGAAAUUGGUGAUUCUGUUGAUAUGAUGUCUGUUCAAAGACCAAUUAAACGACAACCAAAUAAAAAAACAUGUCCAAAUGAUUAUCCAAUCAUUACAACAUUACCAAAAUCAUCAGCAGUUUGUAUAUUGCAAUAAAAAAAAUAUUUCCUUUUGUUUUUUACUUGAAAUUUUGAUUAAUAAAUUAUACAGCUUUUUGGGCAAUAAAAACAAGGAAAUAAAGUAUUGCAAUUGUUCAUUCAACUGUCAACCAUCUUUUUUAUUUUUUAUAAAAUUAUAGGUAUGCGAUAAAUAACUAGGAUGGGAUGAUUUUUAUUUUCUUUUUUUUUUUUUGCCUAUACAAAUUGGCGUAUCUAUUAAUUAAUUUGU
rnacentral:misc_RNA from 1 species